GAGGGUAAAGCUCAGUGGUGGAGCAAGUGCUUCGUGUGCGCUAGGUCCUGGGUUCAAUCCCCAGUGCCUCCA
rnacentral:tRNA from 1 species